rnacentral:rRNA from 1 species
UGGGGAAUUUUGGACUAAUGGGCGCAAAGCCUGAAUCCAGCCAUGCCGCGUGUCUGAAGAAGGCCUUCGGGUUGUAAAGGACUUUUAUCAGGGAAGAAAAGGCUGUUGCUAAUAUCGACAGCUGAUGACGGUACCUGAAGAAUAAGCACCGGCUAACUACGUGCCAGCAGCCGCGGUAAUACGUAGGGUGCGAGCGUUAAUCGGAAUUACUGGGCGUAAAGCGAGCGCAGACGGUUACUUAAGCAGGAUGUGAAAUCCCCGGGCUCAACCUGGGAACUGCGUUCUGAACUGGGUGACUAGAGUGUGUCAGAGGGAGGUAGAAUUCCACGUGUAGCAGUGAAAUGCGUAGAGAUGUGGAGGAAUACCGAUGGCGAAGGCAGCCUCCUGGGAUAACACUGACGUUCAUGCUCGAAAGCGUGGGUAGCAAACAGGAUUAGAUACCCUGGUAGUCCACGCCCUAAACGAUGUCAAUUAGCUGUUGGGCAACUUGAUUGCUUAGUAGCGUAGCUAACGCGUGAAAUUGACCGCCUGGGGAGUACGGUCGCAAGAUUA